rnacentral:rRNA from 1 species
UACAGAGGUCUCAAGCGUUGUUCGGAUUCAUUGGGCGUAAAGGGUGCGUAGGCGGCGCGGUAAGUCGGGUGUGAAAUUUCGGAGCUUAACUCCGAAACUGCAUUCGAUACUGCCGUGCUUGAGGACUGGAGAGGAGACUGGAAUUCAUGGUGUAGCAGUGAAAUGCGUAGAGAUCAUGAGGAAGACCAGUGGCGAAGGCGGGUCUCUGGACAGUUCCUGACACUGAGACACGAAGGCCAGGGGAGCAAACGGG